rnacentral:misc_RNA from 1 species
UGCCAUAAUGAUAAAGAUGUUUAACUUCAUGAAAAAGAGCGCCGGCGAUGAGGAGAAGGAACGUCGCAAGCGUGAAAAGAAACUGCGCAAAGAGGCUAAAGGCGUCAGCGGGGGUGGCGUAACUGGCAGCAUGAGCACCGACGAGCUGCUCCGACUGGAGGAAGUGCGUCGAUCGCUUAAGAUACGCGGUCGCCGCAAGGAGAAGGAAAAGCUGCCCAGCGGCAUUACAGCCGACUACAGUGCAGAUUUCUUUGCGGCCCUUAACGCCGAUGCGCCCAGUGGUAAUGGCAAUGGCAAUGGCAAUGGCAACGGCAACGGAAACGGCGAGCCAGAGCAGGAUCGUGGCAAUGAGGAAAUUGUAGCAUCUGUGAUGACACACAUCGAAAGCCGCAGCUCCACCAAUGGGUCUGGCAUGGGCAUUAAUCUGAACUACGCCGAGGUCACACAUUCGCUGCUAUCCGGCGGGUUAAAGAAUCGAUUUUUGCCGCCGGUGCCGCCAAAGCCGCCCAAACGCGGCAUUUUGAAGGGGUCGCGCAGCAACAUGACCAACGUGCAUGAGGAGAUUGUCUUCACCGGCAGCAGCGGCGGCGGCGGCACGCCCGAAAUGCUGAUGCGCAACACCUUGCAAAAUGAACAGCUGUUUGAAGGCAACCGUGGCGGCGGCAGCGGUGGCUCCAAUUCUAGCCAGCACGGCACCUCGUUCACCUCCGUGGAGAGCCUGCGCAGCGAUGGCGACCAUGCCCCACAGCAGCGGGCCAUGACGCUGCCGGCGAACGCACGCUAUUGUGCACCACAGACGCCCACACAGGCUGCCCAUUUGCAUGUGCUGACAUCGCCGUCCCCGAGUGCAGACAGUCUCACAGAUACCACAAACUCCUCGUUCGCCACGCCCCCAUUCUCGCUCAGUCCUGUGGGCGAAUCGCAGGGCAUCGACCGCUGGGCCCGCGUGCAUGCCUUUGAGGAUGUGCAACUGCCGUUGCCACCAGUGCAGCUGGUGCAGUUGCCGCCUCCCAGGCAGCUGGUAAUCAGGCGACAGAAAUCACCGCGCCAGGACUUUGGCUUCAGUCUGCGCAAGGCCAUUUGCUUGGAUCGCACCGAGUCACUGAUGUCGCCCAUUUUCCGGCCCGUCAUCUUUGCGGAGCCGGGUGCAGGAGGUGGCGCCACGGGCCUCUUGCCCGGCGAUCGAUUAAUCAAGGUCAACGGCACGCCCGUGGGCGACUUAUCGCGCGAGAUCAUCAUCGAGAUGAUACGCAACAGUGGCGAUGCUGUCACCGUUGAGGUUCAACCCGUGGCGGAGCUGGUGGAGCUAAGCAAGCGCUGCAUGGCGCCCAGCACGGCCACCGUCGAGGAGGUCGAUCAUUCCAUUAACAAUGGCAACUGCAACACUUUACGCCGCAGCGCCAGCAAACGCUUCAAGCGUCAGAGCCGGCACGAGAAUGGUACGGGCGGCAUUGGCAAGAGCGCCAGUGAUGUGGAUAUAACCGAUGAUGCCUCACAGCCGGAACGUGUGUGGUUGGUGCAUCGUGGUGGCUUCACCGCUGCGCUGCGUCUGCCGCCCAAUAAUGGCAUGCCGCACGAGGACCAUAAGCUGAACGUGCGACUGCUGCACAAUGGCGAACAAUUGACCGUUGAUGAGGAUGACAUCGAGAAGCAGAACAGCGCCGCAUUGGAUCUGGCCGAGGAUAUCUGUGAGCUGAAGUAUUUAAACGAGGCGUCGGUGCUGCACUGCCUCCGGCAGCGUUAUGCCAGCAAUCUCAUACACACCAAGGCGGGGCCCACGCUGCUUGUGGUCAAUCCAAUGGCACCGCUGUCGCUCUACUCCGAGAAGGUUGUAUCCAUGUUUCGCGGCUGCAAAACGGAGGACAUGCCACCCCACGUCUACUCGCUGGCCCAGACCGCCUACAGGAGUUUGGUUGAAACGCGACGCGAUCAAAGUCUAAUAUUCAUGGGCCGUUCUGGUUCUGGCAAGACCACAAGCUUUAAGCAUGCGCUCAACUACUUGGCGUUGGCUGCUGGUGCAUACAAUAAUUUUAUCAAUGCGGAAAAAGUGAGUGCCCUGUGCACAAUUCUGGAGGCGUUUGGUAAUACGAGAACAUGUCUCAAUACAAAUGCGACGCGUAUGACGCAGCUACUCAGCCUGGAUUUCGAUCAGACCGGGCAAAUAGCAUCAGCCUCGUUACAGGUUCUUCUGCCGGAGCGUCAACGUGCGGGACGCCGGCUGUCGCACGAGCACAGCUUUCAUAUUAUGACGCGACUGUUGGCGGGCGCCGCAGGGCUGCUGCAGAAGGAACUGCACUUGGAGAACAUUUCAUCUGAAGACAGUCAUCCGUUUAUAUCGCUCUCUCAGCGACUGGAGGAUCGCCAUCGGGCGGCGAAUGACUUUUUGCGUACGGUGCAGGCAUUCGAGACACUCAACAUUGAUGCAAAGGCCGUGCGGGGAAUUUGGAGCAUACUGGCAGCCAUUUAUCAUCUGGGUAUUGCGGGCAUUACAAGAAUGGGCACCGGCUCAACGGCACGAACUCAGUUUGCCAAUCCGACAGCAGCGCGCAAAGCGGCUAGCCUGUUGGGAGUCAAUCUGGAGGAUUUAUCGGCAGCUGCGUUUGGUCUGACGCAGCCUAAUGCGGGCGGCAGUUUAAGUCCCUCCAAGUCGCCUACCUCAGAUGGCGGUCAAGAAUGGGCCUGGGAAUGCCUUGAAGCGCUCGUCAUUGGCCUCUACUCGGAGGCCCUGGCCGCUGUGGUAGCUCUCAUUAAUCGCCAGAUCUGCACAUCAGCACAUACUAUUGCUUCGAUUAUGCUGAUCGAUACGCCGGGCUUCCAGAAUCCAGCCAGUUGUGGUCAGCAGCUGGGCGCCACGCUAGCCGAUCUGCGUCACAACUAUCUGCAGGAACGCCUGCAAAUGCUUUUCCACCACACAACAUUGGUAGCGCCACGUGAUCGCUAUGCCCAAGAGCUGGUGGAGAUUGAAAUGGAUCAUGCCUCCGAGUGCCAUCCAGGUCCGCUAAUAUCUCUAAUUGACAAGGCACCACAGAAUCAUGUGGUCCGCUCCUCACAACGGGAUUUGCGCGAGCACGAUCGUCGUGGUUUGCUUUGGCUAUUGGACGAGGAGGCCAUCUAUCCCAACUCGAAUGACGACACAUUCCUAGAGCGUUUGUUCUCUCAUUACGGCGAUCGUGAGCACCACACAUUGUUGCGCAAAUGCGCCGGACAGCGUCAGUUUGUGUUGCAUCAUCUGCAGGGCACCAACCCGGUGCUGUACGCCGUCGAUGGCUGGGUUCGACACAGCCGCGAGCAUCCUGGCAUACGAAAUGCGGUGUCGCUGCUGCAGGACAGCAGUCGGGAGGAGAUCAAUCGUCUGUACAUUGGCUCAUUGACGCGCGGCUCCGGUGCCAUGGUCUUUUGCGGUUCCUUCGCGGGUCUGGAAGGCACACAGUCAUUGCGUCGCGUUUCCAGCAUACGCCGCUCCUUCACUACGGCGGGUGUCAAACGCAAUUCAAUUAUGCUGCAGGUGAAGUUCACCGUAGACGGCAUCAUCGACACGUUACGUCGCACAGGUACCCACUUUGUGCACUGCUAUCUGCUGCAGCACAAUGCGGGCAAACAUGCCAAGUAUACGGCGAAUGGCUCACCCAGCUCAGCUCUUGGCCAAGCAGCUACCGAGGAGGAAUUGGUCAAUGUGCCACUGUUAAGGAGUCAGCUACGUGGCUCGCAAGUCUUGGAGGCGGCUCGUUUGCAUCGUUUGGGCUUUCCCGAAUCUGUGCCAUUGCUUGAGUUUGUGCGUCGCUUUGGUCUGUUAGCCGGCGAUCUGGCGAGCAACAAAGAUAUUAGCGUAGAGCAAAUACUCGCCGUCAAUGAAAUGGACGUUGCCAGCUAUCGUAUCGGACCAAGUCAGAUACUUUUCCGUUCCGGUGUGCUCAAUGAGCUGGAGGCCAAACGCGAUGUGUUGCUUUCGGAUCGCAUUAUACAGUUGCAGGCGUUUUGUCGUGGCUAUUUGGCACGCAAAAAGAUGUCGCAACGGCGUAUUCAGGAGCUGGCAGUGCGUUGCAUUCAACGCAAUGUAAAGGCCUUUUUGGCUGUGCGCGACUGGCCCUGGUGGCGUCUGUUGGUUCGUGUGACGCCUCUGCUCAAUGUGCACCGUACCGAGGAGCAGUUAAAGAUCGCCAACGAGGAGUUGCUCAUGCUUCGUGCCAAGCUGGAGAAGAUCGAAUAUGAUCGCAGUGAAGUCAAGAACGAGAAUCAAAAAUUGGAAGCCAAGUUAUCCGAGCUGACCGUGGAUCUGGCAGAGGAGCGUUCCACGGCGCAUAUUGCCACCGAGCGUCUGGAGGCGGAGACUGCCGAACGGCUGAAGCUUGAAAAGGAGCUCGGGGAGCAUCAGACCAAGGUGAAGAACCUACAGGAGAUGAGCGAAAAGCUGGAAAUGGAGCUAAUAUGCGCAAAAUCCGACUUGAAUGGCAUCUCCGAGGAUGAGGACGUCGAGCACGAAGAAGGCAGCGGUGGUGUUUACAAGCUGAAGUACGAGCGCGUGGCCAGGGAACUGGAGUUCACCAAGCGGCGACUACAGACGCAGCAUGAGCACGAUCUGGAACAGCUGGUCGGGCUCAAAAAGCAAUUGGAGAAGAAGCUAUCCGAUGCCUACGAGGAAGUUGAAGAACAACGUCAGGUUGUGGGCCAAUGGAAACGCAAGGCACAAAAGAUGACCAACGAGAUGAAUGAUUUGCGCAUGCUGCUCGAGGAGCAAAAUGCACGCAACAAUUUGCUGGAGAAGAAGCAGCGCAAAUUCGAUGCCGAGUGUCAGUCCCUGCAGGAUGCAGCGCGCCAGGAACGCCAGGCCAAAGAGCGGUAUGGACGCGAAAAAGAUGUCCUCCAAGCUGAGAAAUUUACGCUCGAGCAAACGCUGGCGGAUACACGUCUGGAUCUAGAGCUGAAAGAGGAAAAGCUGGCCUCGCUGCAGCGUGAGCUGGAGGAGAUGACCUUUGGCGGUGGCACUGAGGAGGAGUUUGCGCAGCUGCGACGCUCCAAGAACGAAACCGAGCGGCGCGCAAAGGAACAGGAGGAGGAGCUCGACGAAAUGGCUGGGCAAAUACAGCUGCUGGAACAGGCCAAGCUGCGUCUGGAGAUGACCCUAGAGACAAUGCGUAAAGAGGCGCGGCGCGAGUCACAGCAGCGCGACGAGGAGCUGGAGGAGGUGCGUGGCAAUGGCUACAAGAAGAUCAAGGCUCUUGAAUGUCAGCUGGAAACAGAGCAUGAGGAACGCACGCUGCUGCUACGCGAAAAGCACGAGCUAGAGAGACGCCUCUCGUCAAUGGAGGACCGCGAUCGUGUGGAUCGUGAUGCCGAGGAGGCGCUGAAUCAAAAGCUGCGUCGUGACUUGCGCAAGUACAAGGCGCUACUGAAGGAUGCUCAGACGCAGCUGGAGCGACUCAAAGCGGAUACGCCUGGCAAAACACUUAUCAGGCAGCUACGCAAUCAGUUGGAGGAUGCGGAAUCUGCGCGCACUUUGGCCAUGAAGGCGCGCCAGACAGCCGAGGCGGAGCUGGCCGAGGUGCAAGCCAUGUUCGAGGAGUCGCAUAGGGCGCGCAACGAUGCCGAGGAACGGGCCAAUGCAGCGCAUCGCGAUCGCGCCGAACUGCAGGCACAGAUCGAGGAGAACGAAGAGGAGCUGGGCGAGCUAAUGAAGAAGUACAGCGCCACCGUCAAGCAGCUAAAUGCAGAGCAAGUCAACGUAUCCGAAACAGAAUUUAAGCUCACUGAACUCGAAGCUGAGCGCAACAAUCUCAAAGAGCAGGUGGCCGAGCUGCAGCACAGACUCGACAAUGUGGAGAACUUGGGUGAUCCCUCCAUUGCUGUCAUGUCCAAGCGUUUGGAAAUGCGCACAAAGGAACUGGAGUCACGUCUGGAACUGGAGCAGGCGACACGUGCACGUCUCGAGGUGCAGGUGAGCCGGCAUAAGGAAGCGCUGGAAAAGUUGCAAAACGAAGUAACCCAGUCAAAGCUGCGGGAAAUGCAGUCACAGGAUGUGCUCAAAAAAUCUCAAAAGAGUUUGCGUGACAUGCGCGAGGAAUAUCAUUCGCUCUCCAGCCGUGAACAAGAGUCGCUGACGCGUCGUAAGGAUCUGGAAAAGAAAAUGGAGGUCAUGGAAUCUGAGGGCACGGCGCUAAAGAACGACUUGCGCUUGGCGCUGCAACGCAUUGCGGAUCUGCAGCAGGCCAUGGAGGAGGAGGGCGAGGAGGAGCUUAGCGAGAGCGAGGAGAGCGUCAGCUCUGUGGGCUCCAUCAGUGAUUUGGAAGAGCGACUGCGACCCGUGCAUGUCAAACGCAGCUCACAGCAGUCAUUAAACGGCCCCACCAUCCCACCCAGCACUACACGCACGCUGAUCUGCGAAAAGGACGACAACAGCCCUAGGUACGCUGAUAACGAAGUCAACUCAAACAGCAGGCAGCACAAGCACUAAGCACCGUAGUCGCAUUAGCUCGAUAUAAUACCUAUAUAUGCAUAUGUAUAACUAUCACUAGUUAGCUAACUAGCUACUUAGCUUAUAAGAAUAACAGUGACGUCGCCGUCGUCGCCACACAUACAUAAACUGGCACUGGCGGCUAAAGCCAUACCGGACCAAAA